UCCUGCUCCAGCGGCCGUUCCUUCCUUCUGUGAUGGACACGCACCCCUCUGAACUGUGAACCAAAGUAAACUCUUUCUUUUGUAAUUUGCCUUGGUCCUGGAGCCUCAUCCCAGCAAUGCAAAAGUAAACAAUGCCAUCCUGUUGUCACUCUCGGGCAAUCGUAAUUAAAUGGUUCACGCGCAGCUUCAGAGAAAUGAUGAUCGUGGAUGAUGCCAGACUCUACCUUUAAAACAGAUGCCACAACGAGGAUGGAUUCCUCCCUUAGAUUUACAUCCUUUCCCAAAUCCAGCUUCUCCUUCAGUGUUUGGCAGGAGGCUGCAUUGGCUGACUUUCUAAAUAUUCCUUCCACAUCAGGUCCGUUUUCAUUCAGAAGGGACAGCAUAUCCUGAGGGGAAAAGACAAGCACCUGUCAUUAUAAAGCCACACUUGCAGAGCUCAGUUUUUCAGUAUAGGAUGAAGCCAAGGGAUCCACAACCUCAUCUGCCUGUGAUUUACCAUGGAAGCUCAGAUAUUCCUGCUCAGAUGGCCACAAGAAAAAAAUAACGCUCACCAGAAUUGAAGACGGCAGAUUACCAUCCUUGCAAAUAGCCCCGAGAGAAUUAGAGAAGAGGCCACCAGUAGUUGAGGCUGGAGUCUUGGGAAGCACAUGGUCACAGCAGAUCAGUGCACCCCACAACCCCUGUCAGAGAAGUGAUGGUGAUCAGCACAGAUUCCCACAACUGGCCAAUGUGCUGAAGAUAAGUCUCUUUGGAAGGCAGAUCCCUAAAUAUGGGGUCUAUAUUAUAUUCCCUCCUAUCAAACCUCAAGGAUCAGCACAAAAAGAGGGCAGAAAGAUGGUCAAAGCCAUUAACAGUUUUGUUAUGGAGUCAACAAAAUCUUUUCAAUACUCAGUACAUCAGUUGCAGCUGUGAACUCUAACAGCUGUUAGAGUACGUCCAAGGACCUUUCCCAUCAAGGAAGGAG